AUGUCAGCUCUCACACGGAGCGGCUCAAGGAGAAGAUGGAGGUCAUGGAGGACCCCGCGAUGCGCGAUACGCUGGAGGCCAUGGCGAAUUGCCUUGAUGACGCCCUCCUGCUCAUCGACACGUGCCAUGGCAAGUGCUUCCUGCUCCGCUACCUGUGUGCGAGCCAUGUCCAAGCAGCUGCGCCGGGCACAUGAAGAUAUAUCAAGGAAACUCCAGCUGGGUGCCUUCGCCGUCGAUGUCGACAUAAAGAUUGCUUUGGACAAACUCGUCACACAGUAUGCAGGACAGGCGGAAAACCCACAAAGUAGUCAACCAAGAACCGAUCAAGCUAGCAGACCUGGAGUAAGGAAAAAUGACAAAGGGAAGACCAUGGUAGCAACAGUAAGAAGGGCAGAGUCUGAUCCCUUGUCAGGCAUUGCACAGUUCAGUUUGUCUCAGUUGGAGGCUGCUACAAACGACUUCUCAGAAGAUAGUUAUGUUGAAAGAGGCUACUACAAGGGUGUAUUAUUGCACAACGGACUAGAUGUUGUAGCCGCCAUCAAGAAGUUUCCAGUCUCUAAUGAUCUUGAACUGCAGCAUGAGCUCAAUAUUCGUGCAAAGCUUGAACACAGAAACAUAGUUAAACUUUUGGGAUAUGCCAAAGUUGAAAAAAGGCUAUGCUUUUUGGUCGAAGAAUACAUGUCGAAUGCUAAAAGCUUGGAAAACAUUAUUAUUAAUGGCAUGUCCUCAACAUCUCGUCUUGAUUGGCCCUCCUGUUUCAAGAUAAUUCAGGGCAUAGCCAAGGGCUUACAUUAUCUACAUAAGAAAUGGGUUCUCUAUAUGGAUUUGAAACCAAACAACAUCCUCGUCCGUUCAGAUAUGGACCCUGUGAUCAUCAAUUUUGGAUCAUCUGUAGUACUAGAUGGUGAUGAUGAUACGAUCUCUGGGGACACCUUAGCGGGCACAUUGUAA
rnacentral:rRNA from 1 species